rnacentral:rRNA from 1 species
UGGGGAAUAUUGCGCAAUGGGCGAAAGCCUGACGCAGCGACGCCGCGUGGAGGAUGAAGGUCUUAGGAUUGUAAACUCCUGUCAGAUGGGAAGAAAGGUUUACGUCUAAUAAAUGUAAAAUAUGACGGUACCAUCAGAGGAAGCACCGGCUAACUUCGUGCCAGCAGCCGCGGUAAUACGAAGGGUGCGAGCGUUAUUCGGAAUCACUGGGCGUAAAGGGUGCGUAGAUGGUGUGUUAAGUUUGUUGUUAAAGGCUUCGGCCUAACUGGAGUAUUGCAAUGAAAACUGGCGCGCUAGAGGGUGAGAGAGAGAAGUGGAAUUCCCGGAGUAGCGGUAAAAUGCGUGGAUCUCGGGAGGAACACCAAUGGCGAAGGCAGCUUCUUGGCUCAUUCCUGACAUUGAGGCACGAAAGCGUGGGGAGCAAACAGGAUUAGAUACCCCCGUAGUCC